CCCGCAAGGGGAGCGGCGCACGGGAGAGUAACGCGUGGGAACCUACCUUUUGGUUCGGAAUAACAUCGGGAAACUGGUGCUAAUACCGAAUACGCCCUUCGGGGGAAAGAUUUAUUGCCAUUAGAUGGGCCCGCGUUGGAUUAGCUAGUUGGUGAGGUAACGGCUCACCAAGGCAACGAUCCAUAGCUGGUCUGAGAGGACGACCAGCCUCACUGGGACUGAGACACGGCCCAGACUCCUACGGGAGGCAGCAGUGGGGAAUAUUGGACAAUGGGGGCAACCCUGAUCCAGCCAUGCCGCGUGAGUGAUGAAGGCCUUCGGG
rnacentral:rRNA from 1 species